UGAAUACGAGAUGCUACGGCGUCGAAGCAGUCUAUGUCAUACUUCCAAGAAAAGCUUGCACUGUCAUAAACAAAUAAUGCCUGUACCAUAACCGACACAGGUGGGUAGGUAGAGUAUACUAAGGGGCGCGAGAUAACUCUCUCUAAGGAACUCGGCAAAAUGACACCGUAACUUCGGGAGAAGGAGUGCCUUGUUUAUAAGGUUGCGAUAACAAGAUCCAAGCAACUGUUUACCAAAAACACAGGUCUCCGCUAAGUCGUAAGACGAUGUAUGGGGGCUGACGCCUGCCCAGUGCCAGAAGGUUAAAGAAGUUGGUUAGCAUCCGCGAAGCUGAUAACUGAAGCCCUGGUGAACGGCGGCCGUAACUAUAACGGUCCUAAGGUAGCGAAAUUCCUUGUCGGGUAAGUUCCGACCCGCACGAAAGGCGUAAUGAUUUGGAUACUGUCUCGGAGAGGGGCUCGGUGAAAUAGACUUGUCUGUGAAGAUGCGGACUACCUGCACCAGGACAGAAAGACCCUAUGAAGCUUUACUGUAACCUGAAAUUGAAAUUGGACUUUACUUGCGCAGUAUAGGUGGGAGGCGUUGAGAAUAUUCUUGCGGGAUUAUUGGAGCCAUCAGUGAGAUACCACUCUUGUAAUGUUAGAUUUCUAACUUUGUAUCAUUAUCUGGUCAAAGAACAGUUUCAGGCGGGCAGUUUGACUGGGGCGGUCGCCUCCUAAACGGUAACGGAGGCGCACAAAGGUUUCCUCUGAACGGGUAGAAAUCGUAUCUAGAGUGUAAAGGCAUAAGGAAGCUUGACUGUGAGACCUACAAGUCGAGCAGGGACGAAAGUCGGUCUUAGUGAUCUGACGGUGCUGAGUGGAAAGGCCGUCACUCAACGGAUAAAAGUUACUCUAAGGAUAACAGGCUGAUCUCCCCCAAGAGUUCACAUCGACGGGGAGGUUUGGCACCUCGAUGUCGGCUCAUCGCAUCCUGGGGCGGUAGUACGUCCCAAGGGUUGGGCUGUUCGCCCAUGAAAGCGGUACGCGAGCUGGGUUCAGAACGUCGUGAGACAGUUCGGUCCAUAUCCGGUGUAGGCGUUAGAAUAUUGAGAGGAGCCUUCUUUAGUACGAGAGGACCGAGAAGGACAUACCUCUGGUGUACCAGUUAUCGUGCCAACGGUAAACGCUGGGUAGCUAUGUGUGGAGUGGAUAACCGCUGAAAGCAUCUAAGUGGGAAGCCCACCUCAAGAUAAGUAUUCUCAUC
rnacentral:rRNA from 1 species